CGCUCUUUGAACCACAAAUAUAAAGAGUCGUGCCUGCCCAGUGAUUUUUUUUAACGGCCGCAGUACCCUGACUGUGCUAAGGUAGCAUAAUCACUUGCUUUUUAAUUGAAAGCUAGAAUGAAUGGCUUGACGAAAACAUUACUGUCUCUUUUACAUUAACUAAAAAUUAAUUUUUAGAUGAAAAAGUCUAAAUAACCUCAAAAGACGAAAAGACCCUAUCGAGCUUAAAAAAAACUUUAAUUCUAACCUGCUAGAUAAAGUAAGAUUAAAAUUUAAUUUUUUGUUGGGGCGACAGAAGAACACACAAAGCUUCUUUUAAUUUUAUAAACAAAUAAGUUUAAAAGAUCCACUAAUAGUGAUUAAAAGAAAAGUUACCGUAGGGAUAACAGCGUAAUUUCUUUAGAGAGCCCAAAUUGAAAAAGAAGUUUGCGACCUCGAUGUUGGAUUAAAAAAUCUUUUUGAUGCAGCAGUCAAAAAAGAAGGUCUGUUCGACCUUUAAAUUUUUACA
rnacentral:rRNA from 1 species